rnacentral:rRNA from 1 species
AACGAACGCUGGCGGCGGGCCUAACACAUGCAAGUCGAGCGAAGCCUUCGGGCUUAGCGGCGGACGGGUGAGUAACACGUGGGAAUCUGCCCUUGGGUUCGGAAUAACUCUCCGAAUGGAGUGCUAAUACCGGAUGAUGUCGAAAGACCAAAGAUUUAUCGCCCAGGGAUGAGCCCGCGUAGGAUUAGCUAGUUGGUGAGGUAAAGGCUCACCAAGGCGGCGAUCCUUAGCUGGCCUGAGAGGAUGAUCAGCCACACUGGGACUGAGACACGGCCCAGACUCCUACGGGAGGCAGCAGUGGGGAAUAUUGGACAAUGGGCGAAAGCCUGAUCCAGCAAUGCCGCGUGAGUGAUGAAGGCCUUAGGGUUGUAAAGCUCUUUUACCCGGGAUGAUAAUGACAGUACCGGGAGGAUAAGCCCCGGCUAACUCCGUGCCAGCCGCCGCGGUAACAC